rnacentral:rRNA from 1 species
GACGAACGCUGGCGGCGUGCCUAAUACAUGCAAGUUGAGCGCUGAAGGUUGGUCCUUGUACCAACUGGAUGAGCAGCGAACGGGUGAGUAACGCGUGGGGAAUCUGCCUUUGAGCGGGGGACAACAUUUGGAAACGAAUGCUAAUACCGCAUAAAAACUUUAAACACAAGUUUCAAGUUUGAAAGAUGCAAUUGCAUCACUCAAAGAUGAUCUCGCGUUGUAUUAGCUAGUUGGUGAGGUAAAGGCUCACCAAGGCGAUGAUACAUAGCCGACCUGAGAGGGUGAUCGGCCACAUUGGGACUGAGACACGGCCCAAACUCCUACGGGAGGCAGCAGUAGGGAAUCUUCGGGAAUGGACGAAAGUCUGACCGGGCAACGGCGCGUGAGUGAAGGAGGUUUUCGGAUCGUAAAACUCUGUUGGUAGAGAAGAACGUUGGUGGGAGUGAAAAGCUCAUCAAGUGACGGUAACUACCCAGAAAGGGACGGCUAACUACGUG